rnacentral:rRNA from 1 species
UACGUAGGUGGCAAGCGUUAUCCGGAAUUAUUGGGCGUAAAGAGCGCGCAGGUGGUUGAUUAAGUCUGAUGUGAAAGCCCACGGCUUAACCGUGGAGGGUCAUUGGAAACUGGUCGACUUGAGUGCAGAAGAGGGAAGUGGAAUUCCAUGUGUAGCGGUGAAAUGCGUAGAGAUAUGGAGGAACACCAGUGGCGAAGGCGGCUUCCUGGUCUGUAACUGACACUGAGGCGCGAAAGCGUGGGGAGCAAACAGGAUUAGAUACCCA